rnacentral:rRNA from 1 species
CCUACGGGAGACUGCAGUGAGGAAUAUUGGUCAAUGGACGAGAGUCUGAACCAGCCAAGUAGCGUGAAGGAUGACUGCCCUAUGGGUUGUAAACUUCUUUUAUAUGGGAAUAAAAUGUUCCACGUGUGCGCUUUUGUAUGUACCUUAUGAAUAAGGAUCGGCUAACUCCGUGCCAGCAGCCGCGGUAAUACGGAGGGUCCGAGCGUUAUCCGGAUUUAUUGGGUUUAAAGGGUGCGUAGGUGGGUUGUUAAGUCAGUUGUGAACGUUUGCGGCUCAACCGUACAAGUGCAGUUGAAACUGGCAGGCUGGAGUACAGUAGAGGUGGGCGGAAUUCGUGGUGUAGCGGUGAAAUGCUUAGAUAUCACGAAGAACACCGAUUGCGAAGGCAGCUCACUGGACUGCAACUGACGCUGAGGCACGAAAGUGUGGGUAUCAAACAGGAUUAGAUACCCGAGUAGUC